UACGUAGGGUGCAAGCGUUAAUCGGAAUUACUGGGCGUAAAGCGUGCGCAGGCGGUUUGAAAAGUCAGCUGUGAAAGCCCCGGGCUCAACCUGGGAACUGCGGUUGAAACUCUCAAGCUAGAGUGCGUCAGAGGGGGGUGGAAUUCCACGUGUAGCAGUGAAAUGCGUAGAGAUGUGGAGGAACACCAAUGGCGAAGGCAGCCCCCUGGGAUGACACUGACGCUCAUGCACGAAAGCGUGGGGAGCAAACAGG
rnacentral:rRNA from 1 species